GACGAACGCUGGCGGCGUGCUUAACACAUGCAAGUCGAACGGAAUGGCUAACGGGUGAGUAACACGUGGGUGACCUGCCCUGCACUUCGGGAUAAGCCUGGGAACCUGGGUCUAAUACCGGAUAGUGUGGGAUGGGCCUGCGGCCUAUCAGCUUGUUGGUGGUGUAAUGGCCUACCAAGGCGGCGACGGGUAGCCGGCCUGAGAGGGCGGACGGCCACAUUGGGAAUGCGACACGGCCGUGACUCCUACGGGAGGCAGCAGUGGGGAAUGUUGCACAAGGGGCGGAAGCCUGAUGCAGGGACGCCGCGUGGGGGAUGACAGCCUUCGGGUUGUAAACUCCUUUCACCAUCGACGCGGUAGAUGGAGAAGAAGCACCGGCUAACUACGUGCCAGCAGCCGCGGUAAUUC
rnacentral:rRNA from 1 species